UAUUGUUGAUAAUAGAUUGCAGAAUGGCGAAUCAGUAAGGAGCUGUGAAGGAUUGUUGUCUGCGUCUGAUGAACAUCACAGCAAUCUGAAUACAAGAGCGAAUGUGACGCUCCGAUAAUGUACAGUAUGCAGAUAGUGUGUUUUUAUUGUCAUCUCAUUUGGAGCGUUUGGUGUUUCUUACAAGUUACCGCCGACUAUGUCAAAUUGUCACACGAUGGGCCUGUUGUGUUGGGCGGCACGAUCACCUUUAGAGCUGACUUGUACGGGGAUGACGGCGAACGACCACGAGGCAUUUUCAAUUACAAGUGGCAGGAUAAUUCGUUAGAAAAUCACAAGUAUCAGACUGAAGGGAUACCAAAUACUACAACAUUUUGGAGCUUAAGUUAUCCACGACAAAUUAAUGUUCCUGGCAGAUAUAUCAUGGAGAUACAAGUUGAACACCACUAUUUUCCAUUUGUGUGGUUGCAUGAUACAAGCGCUCGUGUCGAAUUUGAAAUCUCCGAAUGCCUCAAUGGUAACAUGACCAUGGAGCAGGGCAAUAAAACCAUAUCAGGGGAAUAUGUUUCCUCUGUGAAUGAGACAAAAUUAAUGAUAGACAUGCGUAAAGGAGAUUACGAUUUCAUAACGAAAAACGCCACGUCUAUAUCGACAUAUUGGUUUGUCGAUUGCAAAUAUUACGGUCAAACAAAUGACUUCGCAUUCGUAUAUAAUUUUACGGGUCCCGACACGACGCACGAAGUAGGAGCUCUGGUAGUUGCUUCGUACAUACCUCCAACAACCACAACCGUCCUACCACCUACCACUACCACUACGCCCGUACCCGGUAACAUAACGACAGUCGCACCGAACAAUACUACAACUAGCCCAAAUGGAACUAUCGCACCUGCGACAACAACCGCAUCGCCGACAACUGUCACAACUGUAAAGCCUACGACGUUGAAGCCCGCGACUACCGCGUCGCCGACGAAUGCAAGCGCGAUAGACGCCGCCAACAUGUCUUUACCUUACAUCUGUUCGAAUGCAUCUCUCAUUCCGCCGGAUCCCAACAAUACAUAUGGAUAUUUCCAUAAAAAGAUAAAUGUCCGUGCUCCCAUCUCGAACAUCUCAGUGGACGGUACGAAUUGGAUUCAACCGUGGGACAUGUUGAAUCUGAACAUAACAUGCAGAGGAUCGGGACCUUUCCACAAGUGUCUUCUGUUCCACCGCGGCAAGUACAAUAUCACGGGCAAUGAGACGUGCGACAAUGUGGAACCCUUGCCCACCUGUAAUUUCUCCAUCAUCCAUUAUUUCCUGGAGCCCAGCGUCUACACGAUAAUAAUUGUACUGAACAACGAAGUUAGCACGCAGAUUUAUCCAUUAACGAUAAACAUUUACAAAGUCACGACGAAGCCACAGCUAUCGGUCAUUGUAGUGCCGGUUUCUUGCACGCUCGUGGCCGUGGUGCUGAUAGUGUUCGGUGUGGCGUAUUAUAUUCAGAGCAGAGCAAGGUUCACAGUGGAAGUCGCUGACUUCGACUUUGGGCAAAAUAACCCAGAGAUGGAGUACAAAACGUUUGCUGAACGCUUGCGCGACUCGUUCAAUAAUACUGUAAGGCCCAAAGGCAAAGGGAUAAUUCUACGCUUGCCCUAUUACGGCAGCAUGAAUCACUGACAAAUAUCGACCAUGCGAAUUAAGCGGCCUACCGUUGUAUAACUGUUCCGUUAUUAAAAGUGCAGGGUAUAAACCACUUAACAAUCCGCAAACGCAUCAGUGACGUAUGAGCAAGGAGCAAAGACCUUCCGAGGAUGAGAGACGACACUAAACUUACUGUAGCAAGAGUGUCUGCGAGAAGUAGCAUUGCGGAAACACGUGCCAGACGGGGGAACACCCGUCGGCAAAUUCCACGGUGUUGGUGGCGAAGAGGUCCGUCAAAUGUCUCGUUGCUGCGAUUAAGUAGAUAUUAAGUAACAUCACUUGAAGAUCGACGUGUCAUAAAAAGGAAAAAUAAAAUACGACAAAUCAUUGCGUGAUCUUUCCAAAGAAUUUGCGGAUCGCUAGGUCAACGUUGUAUAUAAGCGUGGAAGAAAUUACGAAGAUGUAUAUAUAGGCUGUGAAUAUGUGUAGCGUGCAAUAGUGUGGUAGCGUCGCUCUUACGUGAUACAUGAAAGAAUUUGAUAUUUUUUUAAGGCCUCGAAUAUGAAAGUUAUCGAUUGAUAGCCUUUUUAUGAUUUACCGUACGUCCUUGCUUAACGCUAAAGCGUUAGUGUGUCACUAUUGUGUGAUCGUAAUAUACCGCAUAAUAUAUUCUUUAUACUUACACGAAAUGUGAGGUGAAAUUGUAUGUUAUAUUAGUUCGCAUUAUGUUGUAGGAGUGAAGGAGAAUUGAUUUGCUGCUUUUAGAAGAUCGGUGAUGAUUCUUUAGAGAAUUCUAUAUGUAUAUGUAAUAUAUUCUAAUUCUACAUGAUUUGUUCUAUAUUUAUGCAUUCUAAUUCUAUAUGUCGUAUUCCACGGGAUCAUCCGUUAAUUUUACGACGACACCGAUAUAAUUUCCCUUUAUAUCUUUCUCUUUCGCUCUUAAUCACUCACACACCGUAACACACAAAUGCGAACGUACACACGUGGAAAUCGCCAGGCGAGGGGGCUUUAUUAAGAAGCAGAAUUAAAUCACGACCAAAUUGAGAGAUUCUUUUAUACGUGGUGUGUUAUAUUUAUAAUUCAUUGAUAAGUAGAAACUCUCUUUUAGAAAAUUUUGAACCAAGUCACUAGAUGGGCAGGUAUACUAUUACGAACGCUUGUACAAGAUACUCUAGGCUAGAAGAAUAGUCUAACUCGAAAAAAAAAAAAAGAAAUAUAAUUAUCGCAAUAUCGUGAUGCAAAAGUAUUUAUCUGCCGAAUAUCUAAUAAAAAGAAACGAAAUACGUUACGGACGGCACGUUAGGUGUCGUUUCUCAUAUUACCGUCAUUCGGACGAUUGGUUGUUAUGAUGUCGAUGUACGGGAUCUGUUUCGUCGGCAGCCGCGAUAUGCGAACAUUUUGUUAAAAAAUUAUUGUAAUGCUGUAAUGAUACUUUGAUUAAAGUGAUUGGUUUUAAUUA